AGAAGUUAAUUCUAACUUUGGGAGUGUCAGAUAACAGGACUCCAACAUGCACUGAUGAUGUUGGUUUUUCUAGGUGUUGCUGUUCCUGCAGAAAUCCUAGAGACUGCUCUGCCCCAGCAAACAGACUUCUGCAGAACGAGCUGCUGUACCUAAGAACCAACCCUUCUCAAGUAGGUGUGUCUAACUAAAAUGAAACCACUGAGGAAACUGCCUUGAUACUGAACUUCCCUAAACCAGGUCUCAGCAGAAGAAAAAAGCAUCCCUCCUACCUCAUUUCUCCUUUCGGAGGCUAGCAGGAAAUUAAAAAAGGAAAGGAGUUCCAUGCAGUAUUUCUGACAGCAAAUUUCUCAGAAUCCAGAGAUACUUCUUUUCCCUGUAAUAAGUUGCUGCAGAUACAAAGGAGCACUUAUGAUUGAUGACUGUCUCUGUUUGCAGGAGUGAUAAUUUUUGAACACACAGUUCUCGAUUAAAAUACAAAUGCAUUUUCAACUGCGUAUUUCUUUAUCUAUGUUUUAGUCUUACUUGACAAAAUGUGAAAAGAAUCCAGUAAAGUUGGGUUCUAGCAUACUGCAGAAGUGAAACUGAAGUAAGGAGAUUUUUAAAUGCGGAGGGAACAUCCAUUGCUAUCUCUCGGUACCUGAGUUCUCAUGUAGGAGUAGGUAAUUUGAACUGGGCUUUUGUCACUUGCAGUAGGAAGAAUCCUGAAUAUUCCCUGAGGCUUGUAGAAUUGCAGAAUAUGAGCUCAAAGUUGUUUAUAUAGACCAGUAUGAAAAAUAUCAUAAAAUGCAGGACAAAGAUCUAUAGAUUUUGGUAAGUCUUUGGGCUUUCACUUUUGAUAUAUUGCAAUGCAUAUUUUUUUCUUUCAAAUUCUGCUUAAAGGCUCAAAAUCUUAUUUGAAGUUUCUUUUAAUUUUUUUUAUAAGAACCACCUGUAUCCUUGAUAUUUGAGGUACUGCUUAGCAUAUGUUUCAAUUACAAACUUUUUGGUUAAGCAACUUUGGAGUCUUCAUAAAGUUAUAAAGACUAAUUUUUUUAAACGGUUUACAUUUAAAUAAAAUUUUAAAUUAUAAAGACA
rnacentral:lncRNA from 13 species